rnacentral:snoRNA from 1 species
ACUCGCUGAGGAGUAGCUUCUGGCUUUCAUUCUUCGGAGUCUGCUGAAGCCAGGAGGCAUUCCUGAGAAGG